UCCCUGUCAGAACGAGCCCAGGGUUUUCCCAGCCAUCUGAUUGGUCGGUGCUCGGCCUGGUGACAGUUUGAUAAUGACCCUCUGAAGUUCACCUGCUCCAGAGCAGACGCACUGUGCGUCCAGAAGUUACCGUGGUGAUGUAGCCCGAUUAAAAGUGAGCCAGAAAACUUGGGUUAAGCCCAAAGUUAGCGGGAUAAGCCACUAAUGGUGCAGGCCCCGGGAUGUUUUACUCCAGCUGGUGGCGGAGGAAGGAGCCGUGCACGCUGCCGGAUUUCACACGAUGAAUAUCUCAAAGACUAAGCAGAAGCAGGCAGCUGUUUUCAGCCACUGUGAACUUUCCUCAGGAGGUGGUGGAGGCCAAACUGGAGCUCAAAGAGAGGGAACGCUGGACUAGAUGUGUUCAGUGAACUCUCCAGAGGAAUGAUCCUGUUGCUGUAUGCUGUGGAUGAUUUGAUGAUUUGCUCUCUGAGUGCAGCGCUGGUGCUGAGGUGAGCCCUCUGACCGAUCUGACCCUACCAGAGGAGCGCUUCCUGAAUUAGCAGCGGUGGGAGAUGUGCUACAGAUUAGCUGUUCAGAGUUACUGUUGACUAAUAACUAACCCUCUUAUCAUGUGCUGUGGUGAAGUU